rnacentral:tRNA from 1 species
GCCCCCGUAGCUCAAAUGGAUAGAGCAUCGGUUUCCUAAACCGGUUGUUGUGAGUUCAAAUCUCGCCGGGGGCA